UACGUAGGGUGCGAGCGUUAAUCGGAAUUACUGGGCGUAAAGCGUGCGCAGGCGGUUCGUUGUGUCGGCGGUGAAAUCCCCGGGCUCAACCUGGGAAUGGCCGUUGAAACUGGCGAACUGGAGUGUGGCAGAGGGGGGUGGAAUUCCGCGUGUAGCAGUGAAAUGCGUAGAGAUGCGGAGGAACACCAGUGGCGAAGGCGGCGAUCUGGGCAGAUACUGACGCUGAGGUGCGAAAGCGUGGGGAGCAAACAGG
rnacentral:rRNA from 1 species